rnacentral:rRNA from 1 species
AUUGAACGCUGGCGGCAGGCCUAACACAUGCAAGUCGAACGAGCGGCGGACGGGUGAGUAAUGUCUGGGAAACUGCCUGAUGGAGGGGGAUAACUACUGGAAACGGUAGCUAAUACCGCAUACCAUCCGAUGUUCCCAGAUGGGAUUAGCUAGUAGGUGGGGUAAAGGCUCCCCUAGGCGACGAUCCCUAGCUGGUCUGAGAGGAUGACAAGACACACUGGAAUGGAGACACGGCCCAGACUCCUACGGGAGGCAGCAGUGGGGAAGAUUGCACAAUGGGCGCAAGUCUGAUGCAGCCAGGCCGCGUGUGGGAAGAAGGCCUUCGGGUUGUAAAGUACUUUCAGCGAGGAGGCGUUACCCGUAGAAGAAGCACAGGCUAACUCAGUGCCAGCAGCCGCGGUAAUUC